GAAAAGAGUCAUUAUAUAUUCGGAUCAACACAGACAUGGAGGAGAGGAGCUCAAUCCCUAUUCAUCUUAUCUUAAUUUAUUUUUGUGUCUUGUUUUGCUGUUUUUUCAUCGUUUAUUUAAUUCAUAUGGCUACCUUAGAAGCAGCAAAGUAUGGGCUGACCAAUUAUAGCGGAAGACAUGUUAUUCUUACCGAAACGGAGAUGGUUAUUUAAAUGGAACAUUAAUUAGUUGUAGGUGAAAAAAAGGAUUCUAUUGGUCCUUAAUUUUUGUCUCGUUCCAUAUUUCUGCCCUUGAAAAUUUUCCCUCAACAAAGUAUUUCGAUUAUAAAAGCAAUUAUAUUACAAGUCCAAUUAAACUCAAAGUAUCCUCUUAAUUCAUUGCUUACAUGCCUUUAAAUAUUUUUAUCAACACCAGUUCGAGUUUUCAAUUUCUUUUCUAAUUUAUUUCAACUCUUUAACUACUAAUAUUUUUAUUUUCUUGAGUCUGGUCUAAGUCAGUUAUAAUAAAAGUCAAAAUUAAUGGCCACAACCAAACCAAAUCUCAAUUUUUAUGUCGUACAAUAUUAUUAUCAAUCAUUAAUAUUCUCUACUUAUAAAGUACAACUUUGAUCAAUAUUUCAUUUUCUAGUAAGCCAAUUGAAAUGAUUGUGAGAAAAUUUUUAAACAAAUGGCGUCAAGUCAAUUUAAGUCUAAAAUAAUUCUUUUUAAGAUCAAAUUAAGUGUUAAAAAACAGACGGGAUUUCUACAACACGCAUGAAAUUUGGAUGCUUCCUUUAGAUCUAAGAUAGGGUGUCAAAAUUUGGGAAAGAUACAACCGUUUAAAAUAAAGAAAAAAAGGUUUUUAAAACAUUACAGUAAUCAGUUAUAUAAUCAUUAGACUCUUAAAGACUGAAUAUAUAAUUAAUUGACUAUCAUCUUUUAUCUUUAGGAAUUGCUUAUGCUUUUCUUGAUCAAAAAUUGAUUUCUAUCUUACAAAGAAAGAAACGAUCCGUACAAUUCCAAACAUGUAUCUGGUAGUCUUUUCAUCGUAAAGUUUCGAUAUUUAAUGUGUUGUAUUAUAUACAUAUAAUGUAAUAAUUGAUAAUUCGUAUUAAAAACUGAUUCAAUUCAA
rnacentral:lncRNA from 1 species